UGCCUCGUUGCUAGCCCAACGAGGUCUACCGAUAAAUCCCACAUGUGCAAUAUGCUCAUCGGGCACAUAAAUAAUUGAGCAUAUCUUGAGAGAUUGCUCGAGUGCUCGCUCCUUUUUGCAAAAUUUGCUCAUUCCUCCUAUGAAAAGAGGUUCUUUCUCAGUACCUGUCAAGGAAUGGGUUAGAUUCAACCUCACUUCCUCUUGACCAUCGAAUCUAAAUAUCCCAUGAGGUGUUGCGGGAGCUGGAGGAGGAAUUAGGGACUCCAAUGGUUCAUGGUUUCGAAUGGGCAACGUUCUGAGGGCAGCCAACAUCGUUGAGAUGAUGUCACCGGUGUCGGUAAAGGCCGCCCAAGACCUUGUAUGGGCAGUGGUCAUCAGGACGAGUCAUCACCGCUUGAAUUUUCUCUCUUGUUUCUUCGAGGUUAAAGUUGGGGACACGGGCAGAGGAGAAGUACCAGAACUUCGAAAGAUCGAGGAGUUCAAGAGAUAGAGGGAAGAGAAGAGGAAGAAGGAAUGUCGUGAAAUGGGCCUGUGGAGAAAUCUUCCUUUGGGCUCUGCCAUUUAAAAAAAAAAUUCUUAUUUCGGUUGAAGAGCUAAUUCGCUCUGAGAUGUGGGAAGAAGAUGGGGAGCUGGGGAGGUGGGGGCCUUGGGAGAAGACCAUGGAUGUUGACCUUUCACAGUUUCUUCAAUUCACUUUAUUCAUUUUCCUUUUUCUUUUAGUUUCAAUUUUUGGCUGUUUUUCAAGUUAAAAAAUAAAUUAUACAAAUUACUUCACCCA